GGAGGAAAGAAACCAACAGGGAUUGCCUCAGUAACGGCGAGUGAAGCGGCAAAAGCUCAAAUUUGAAACCCUCGGGAUUGUAAUUUGAAGAUUUGGCAUUGGAGAAAGCUAACCCAAGUUGCUUGGAAUAGUACGUCAUAGAGGGUGACAACCCCGUCUGGCUAACCGUUCUCCAUGUAUUGCCUUAUCAAAGAGUCGAGUUGUUUGGGAAUGCAGCUCAAAGUGGGUGGUAAACUCCAUCUAAAGCUAAAUACUGGUGAGAGACCGAUAGCGAACAAGUACUGUGAAGGAAAGGUGAAAAGAACUUUGAAAAGAGAGUGAAAUAGUAUGUGAAAUUGUUGAUAGGGAAGGAAAUGAGUGGAGAGUGGCCGAGGUUUCAGCCGCCCCUCGUGGGCGGUGUACUGCCGACGCCGAGUCAUCGAUAGCGAGACGAGGGUUACAAAUGGGAGCGCCUUUCGGGCGUUCUCCCCUAACCCUCCACACUGCCACCGACGACAUAA
rnacentral:rRNA from 1 species